CAGCUGUACGGUGAAACCCCAUUUUAAUUACUCACAUGAGAGAUCGCAUCAGUGUGAAAUGUUUGAAACCUGACUCGAGUCCUGUAAAUUUAAAGCUUCUGUCUUUUACGCACAGGAGUGGAAACAAACGAAGAAAACGAUUAUAUCAAAUCAAUCCGCCCAGAUUUGUGAAUGAAUUAUACAGAUGCAGUUGAUUUGUAUCCCUCUAUCCGCCGUAGUGAGGUUUGUCUCGUUUAGUGGCUGAGAGGCAGGCGUCAAACUCCCCCUCCGGGCCUUUCCUGAUUAUAAAACCAACGCGUCCAUUGAGCUCCAAUGGGAACUUGGAACAACAGGUAGGCGUCCUCUGGCUGCGUCACUCGGCUCAGACUGUGGCGCUUUUCGGCGAAGCAAGUGACCGGACCACGAGCUCUCUUGGAAAUCAGACCUGAAAUAAAACUUCGCCCAGUGGUUCCUCAUUAGUCUGAAACUGUUUCUUUUGAGAGUAGACGAGCUGUUUCCUCGCGCCGUCUGGGCUCUUUUGGUGGGAAACGCUACAGACACACACACAAACACACACACUGAAAGGUUUUCUGAUUGGUUAAUUGGAGGGGACAUCUCAAUGUGGACGCAACGUUGACGAUUCUGGAUGUCUGUUUAUACCCACCGUCCUUGUAAAUCUGCCACAUCGUCCUCGCUGUUAAACUUCCUCUGGGAUAAAGAGAGGACACGCUGAGACACAGCUGAUCCGAAGAGGUCAGACGCUCUCUGAACCAGAUCCCCUGCAGGAGGACAUGGAGGUCCUGCGGCGGUCUUCUGUGUUUGCCGCAGAGGUCCUAGAUGUGUUUGACUGGUCGUUGACUGAGAAGGAGCUGGUGUCCCAGUCUAAAGCCUUGUGCAGAGACUACAUACUGUCCAGACUCAACCAGAAUGGACUGGGAUGGUCCAAAACCGAACUCAACCUCUCUCCCUCAA